rnacentral:rRNA from 1 species
GAUGAACGCUGGCGGCGUGCCUAAUACAUGCAAGUCGAGCGAACAGACGAGGAGCUUGCUCCUCUGAUGUUAGCGGCGGACGGGUGAGUAACACGUGGAUAACCUACCUAUAAGACUGGGAUAACUUCGGGAAACCGGAGCUAAUACCGGAUAACAUGUUGAACCGCAUGGUUCAACAGUGAAAGACGAUCUUGCUGUCACUUAUAGAUGGAUCCGCGCCGCAUUAGCUAGUUGGUAAGGUAACGGCUUACCAAGGCAACGAUGCGUAGCCGACCUGAGAGGGUGAUCGGCCACACUGGAACUGAGACACGGUCCAGACUCCUACGGGAGGCAGCAGUAGGGAAUCUUCCGCAAUGGGCGAAAGCCUGACGGAGCAACGCCGCGUGAGUGAAGAAGGUCUUCGGAUCGUAAAACUCUGUUAUUAGGGAAGAACAAAUGUGUAAGUAACUAUGCACGUCUUGACGGUACCUAAUCAGAAAGCCACGGCUAACUACGU